rnacentral:lncRNA from 1 species
UGCUUAAGAUAUUUUUAUACUGGAUCAUCUAAUAGCACAUAUUAUGUACAUGUAUAGUUCUCAAUUAAUCAAUUAAGUUUCACCAUGCUAACUAAUGUUGCAAGUUACAACGAGUAUUCUUUCUACUCAUAGCCACUUCUUGCUAACUUGUACAACUAUUGUGUGACAACAAGUUAAUAACACAAGUAUUGUUUAACAACAAAUCAUUCAUGAAUAACCUGUACAAGCAUUUUUUACAACAAGUCACUCUUGACCAACAUGAUUAGUAUUAUUUGAUAACAAGGCACUUUUGACUAAGACAAAUAUUUUUUCUAAGGAGUGAUAAAAAAAAUAUCACAAGGUGGCUCGCUAGAGAGGGAUUGCAUCUUUCGAUAUUUACAAAGUUAACAACUCUCUACUAGUUUGCCAGAUAAACGCAACAAUGUUCUUACAAAGCUAUUUUAGGGUACAAAAAGAAUAUUAACAACGAUUUAGCACCUUUUCAAUUUGAACUCUUGUUUUUUUUUUCUUGAAGGAUAACGUUAUAUAGGAAAUUAGAAAAAGAGUCGUUGCAAAUCUUUUUCUGGUCGUUAAGCAACUUCAAACUCACUUAAACGUCUUGUUUGUGUCUGCAGAGCUUGAAUGUAGAAGAUGCAUUAAAUGUGGUUCAUGCAUGCAUCAAAUGUUCCUCUCUUCUUUAAGAAAUAUCUCGAUAGCUAGAUGUUUUUUUAUCAGUAAAGAAUAAAUAAAAUAAAAUAAGACACUUCAGAGGGUGUCCCAACCCUUAUACAAAAAAACUCAUACCAAACUUCUUAACACCCACCAACUAGGGAUCUAACAUACUCUACAAAACAUCAACCAGAGUAAUAUAUACAUGACAAGACUAGUAUAGGCAUGAUCACAUCAUAAUACAAUUACAUCAUCCCUCCAAAAGGAGACAUGUUCUCACAAAAUAAGACAAAAUAAAUACCACCCUGCACCUUCUCCAACAACUGAAUAGGAUCUUUGCCAGGAUCCAGAACUAAGUAAAACACCCAAGAGUCAUAAAUAUCACACCAAACCUGCAAGAAAACUAGGAAGCCAAAAAACUUGCACUAAAUAAGACAAAAACUUCCAAACCUGGUCAAAACAUUAAACAUAAAUUUCUCAAAUAUCUCAUACAACAUAAAGGUUCCAAACAUCAAUCUGAGUAAGAGAAAUCAAUUAAUCUUUCCUUUACUGUAACCCAAGACCAGAUCUUCCUUUGUACCACAGUAAAAACCUCAACUAGAUCAACUCGCCCAUUCUUAAAAACAACCAUAUUCCUAUGAUUCCAAAUUUCACAGAGUACAACCAAUAUCUAAAGAGACCAAAAACAAUGUAGGGAAUUUUUGCAUUAAAGGUACAUUAUCCACCCAUUUAUCCUCCUAAAACCUAAUUUCUUUUUUGUCCCCUACUUCCCACCAUCCUUUGUCAUCAAAGUCGUUACCUCACUCCUUUAGAUUCUAAACUUUCCUAAUGUCUCUCCACCACACAGACUCCUUACUAUUCUGAACCUAGGACCUUAAGCCCCUCCACCCACCAUAUUUAGAAUCUAUGAUAUCCUUCCAUAAACUUCUCUUUUCAGACUUAAGUCUCCAAAUUCAUUUCCCCAUAAGGGCAAAGUUAAAUCUUCUUAUAAGAAUAACCCCUAAACCUCUUUUAUCUUUUGACUCACAGACUUUAUCCCAUGUCACUAAGCAAAUUUUUCUACUCUUUGAGCCCCAAUCCACAAAAAAUUCUUCUGCAUCCUUUUCAAUUCCUUCACCACAGUAGUCGACAUACGGAAGAAUGAGAUGUAAAAUAACGGUAAAGAGGUAAGCACAGAUAUGAUCAGACAGCCAUAAAGAGGAAUUUAUCUUUCCAAGAGCUCAAUCCACUAUGGAUUUUAUUGAGCACCCCUUCCCAAAAAAUACACCUCCUAUGAUUCCCUCAUAGUGUCACCCCCAAAUAAGUAAAAGGUGCUUUCAUAAUUUCGUAAUUAAGGAUAGAAGCAUACAACACCAUCUGAUUGAUGCUCACACCCACUCCAGAGACAAAUUCAAAACACUUCAGAAUUACUUUUAAGGUCAUAACACUUUGAGUUGUGGCUUUACAGAAAAAGAGGGUGUCAUCUACAUAUUGUAGCAUACUCAUGUUUACCCGCCUUUCCCCGACCUAAAUACUCUCUACUAACUUUUUAUCUUCUGCUUGUCUAACCACUCCUACAAGCCCUUCAAGUGUAAUGAGAAAGAAAAAUGGUAUUAACGGGUAAUAUUAUUAUUUUUAAAAUUAUUAUUUCUAAUAAUAUUACUAUUUAAUGUUAUUAUUUAUAAUAAGAUUAAAUAAUAAUAAUAUUAUUAAUAAUACUAUUAAUAAUAAUGUUAUUAUUAAAAUUAAAAUUAAUAUUAUUUUAAUUAUUAUUAAUGUUAACAUUAUUAUUUUUAUAUUUAUUAAUAGUAUUAUUAUUAAUAAUAAUUUAGUUAUUAUUAAUAUUAUUAUUAUUAUAAUAAUUAUUAAUUUUAUUAGUAUUAUUGUUAUUAUUAUUAUUGUAUUUACUAAUAUUAUUGAUAUUAAUAUUAUUAAUAUUGUCAUUAUUAUUAUUUUAAUUAUUAUUAUUAAUGUUAUUAAAAUUAAUAUUAUUAUCAUAAUUAUAAUUAUUAAUAUUAACAUUAUUAUUAUAAUUAUUAUUAUUAAAUUUACUGACAAAAUUUACUGAUGAAUUUUGUUUGCAUUCAAUAAUAAUCAAGGAAUUUUAUCGACGAAUAAUGAUUUAUGCUUAAUUUUGAUUUUUUAAUUUUCAUAUCCGUCGAUACCUAAUAACAAAGAUUUAACGGAAAAAAUUUCGAUAAUACCAUCCGUUUAUAAAUUUCGUUAAUAAUUAAAAAAAUUAUUAUCACGAAACUAUGAAUUUAUUUUAGUGAUAUUGUUAUCUGGGUAUUUGAAGGAGAUUUAGUUACUGUAAUCUGUUGAUCAAAAUAUUUUUUUUAUAAAAAAAAAUUAUAUUAAAAUUUAUUUUAAUAACUUAUCCUUAUAUAUGAAGAAGUAAUAUCUAAAGAGGAAUAAAUAUUUUUAUUUUUUACCAUCCUUUUGUCUUUGUGUGUGACAUUAUCUCUAAUAAUUAAUUUUCUUAAAUAUUAAAUAAAUUGUACUAUAAAUUAUUUUUAAUUAAUAGCUCAACCAUUUCACCUAAUACAUAUUUUUUAUUUUAUAAAAAAAUUAAUAAAAAUGUAUAUCACGUUUAAAUUAAACGGAGUAUACAACAAUUUUCUUUUUAAUGGCUUUGGGUUCUGUCAUCGUCAAUUUGACAGGUGCCUAAAGAGUUGACUUAAGUUGUCCAUAAGUUUUUAAAAUUGAAUGUCUUAGAAGCAAAAGGAAAUUAUUACUCUAUAGAAAGUAGGAUAUCAACUUUAUUUGUGUUUGGACUAAUUUUUCCAUAAGAUAUUUUAAAAUAAAUAUAUAAAUUUAACUUCUUUAUAAAUUAAAAAUAAUAUAUUAAAAAAAGUUAUACAAAAAGAACUUUUAUAAAUUAAAUCAUAUAUAUAUGUGUGUUAUAAUUUUAACUUAUAAAAAAACUAAUUUUAAUCUUUUUUUCUUAAAAAGAGCUUUUAAAAAAAGUCAGUUUCGAUAUAUCUUAAACAGAUAAACAAAACGAAUUAUUUUUAAAAAUAGGUAAUUAUUAACCAGGACAUUGGUUAAAAAAUUAAAAGACUUUUUUUUUAUAUAGAAUAUUAAAAAUAUUUUAUUUUAUGAAAUUUUAAUAUUGUUUUCUUCUUUUAAUCUUAAUUAAAAGAAUAUUUCAGUAUAAAAAACAAACAUUAUCAAAAAUCAUUAAAUAAAAAUUAAUAUUAAAAAAUUAUUAUUAUAUUAACUAUGUUAUAUAUUAUUUUAUAAAUUAAAAAAUUAUUAUUAUUAAAAAAAUUUAUAAAUUUAUGUUAAAGAAUUAAAAAUAAAAAGGCAUCUUUGAUUUUGUUUUUACCAAUUUUCUCUCGCUUUUGAUCUUUAAUAUUAAAAAACCCGUUAAUGAAUGAUCAAAAUUGAAAUAGUAAGUGUUUUUUAAUUAAAAUUAAAACUUCAUCAUCAAUCGCUUCUAAUUUGAAAUACCAUGACAAAUGCAAUAAUACAUAAUAGAAUUAAAAAUAAAAACAAGUAAAUUAUAUGUAAAAUCAUGCAUUAAUAUCAAGUUUUCAUUCGUUGUUUUUUAGUGAACGUAAUAAGUAAUAAAUAAAAACUUGGACAAUUUAUGAUACUGAGAAGAAAGCCUAACGAGAAAAGCACAGAAAAAAUAUUAUUUGAAUGCUUUUUUCUAUGGUCCUAAUUUAAUAAUGGAAUGAAGGAACGGUGAGAAACGGCAAAGAAAAAAAAAAAAAUUGCAGAGAGAAGAAGGUGGUAAGUAAGGAAGAGAGAAACUAACCGACGACAUCGUUUUGAAUAUCUUCUACAAUCUCGAAGAUGAUGCUCGCCACCGGCUCGCUUUGGCCUGCGUCUGCACCAAAUUCUCUGCCGUCAACCUCAUCGCCGAUUUCUGUUGGAAGACCAAAUUCUCCCGCACCAUCCCCUCCGACCACCGCCGCUCGCCCUUCACAAAGUAGCCGUUUGCUGCCUCGGCCUCCUCUUCGACACCUCCGAUUCCGGCCUCCACCCUCACCUUUUCAACAACUCUUCCCCUCCAAUUCUCGCUCUAAAAAAUAAAUUUAAAUGUCGUUUGGGAAUCGCACUCACCUCAUUUCAUUUUAUACUAAAGUUAUACAAAACCGU